AUAAGGUUUGAUUCUGUCUUUAAAAUUAGUUUGUUCAUUAAAUUAUAUGGAUAUAAAUAAAUUAUUUAAUUCCAGUAAUAAAUAUUUUUAAUAGAGUUAUUUCUGAAUUAGUAAAUGAAUAUUAAGUAGAUUAAAUUUGUGCCAGCAUUCGCGGUUAGACAUUUUACUAAAGUUAAUUUUAUAGAAUUUAAUUUUUUUUAUUAUUGAGAAGAUAAUUUUAAUAUAUUUAGGUGGAAUUUAUAUUUUAAUAUAAUUCUUCUUUAAUAAAAUUUUAUUUUAAGAAAUUUUAUUGUUAAACUAGGAUUAGAUACCCUAUUAUUUUUUAUGUAAUACUUAAUUCUGAAUAUUAUUAGUUAUGUUCUUUAAAGCUCAAAGGAUUUGGCGGUAAAAUAUCUUCUUAGAGGAACCUGUAGAUUAAUUGAUAAACCACGAUAUACUCUACUUUUUUAUUUAUUUGUAUACCGCUAUUUAAAAGAGUGUUCUUAUAGGAUAUUUUCUUUUUCUUUAAUGAAUUAUAUUAAGUCAAGGUGCAGUUUUAAAAAAGUUUUUAUGGGUUACUUAAAUUAUAAAUUUUAUAGGUACAUUUAUAUAAUUAUAAAUUAUUAAUGAGGAUUUAAAAGUAAAUUUAUCUAAUUAGUUAAUUUGAAUUUAGCUCUUUUUUAUGCACAUAUCGCCCGUCACUCCUAAGCUAAUUUAGGAUAAGUCGUAACAAAGUAAUUUUACCGGAAGGUGAGGUUAGUAUAUU
rnacentral:ncRNA from 1 species